GACGGGGCCCGCACAAGCGGUGGAGUAUGUGGUUUAAUUCGAUGCAACGCGAAGACCUUACCUGGUCUUGACAUCCCGGAGACCCUUAGGAAACUAGGGGGUGCUUCCAUCUGGAAGAAUCUGGAGACAGGUGCUGCAUGGCUGUCGUCAGCUCGUGUCGUGAGAUGUUGGGUUAAGUCCCGCAACGAGCGCAACCCUUGCCUUUAGUUGCCAGCAGUUCGGCUGGGCACUCUAAAGGGACUGCCGGUGUUAAACCGGAGGAAGGUGGGGAUGGACGUCAAGUCCUCAUGGCCUUUAUGACCAGGGCUACACGCGUACUACAAUGGCCGAUACAAAGGGCAGCGACACUGCGAGGUGAAGCCAAUCCCGUAAAAUACGGUCUCAGUCCGGAUUGGAGUCUGCAACUCGACUCCAUGAAGUUGGAAUCGCUAGUAAUCGUGGAUCAGCAUGCCACGGUGAAUACGUUCCCGGGCCUU
rnacentral:rRNA from 1 species